AACAGGAUUAGAUACCCUGGUAGUCCACGCCGUAAACGAUGAGAACUAGCCGUUGGACAUCUUGCAUGUUUAGUGGCGCAGCUAACGCGAUAAGUUCUCCGCCUGGGGAGUACGGCCGCAAGGUUAAAACUCAAAUGAAUUGACGGGGGCCCGCACAAGCGGUGGAGCAUGUGGUUUAAUUCGACGCAACGCGAAGAACCUUACCUACACUUGACAUCCUCGGAACUUUCUAGAGAUAGAUUGGUGCCUUCGGGAACCGAGUGACAGGUGCUGCAUGGCUGUCGUCAGCUCGUGUCGUGAGAUGUUGGGUUAAGUCCCGUAACGAGCGCAACCCUUAUCCUUAAUUGCCAGCGGUUAGGCCGGGAACUCUAAGGAGACUGCCGAUGACAAAUCGGAGGAAGGUGGGGACGACGUCAAGUCAUCAUGGCCCUUACGUGUAGGGCUACACACGUGCUACAAUGGCCGGUACAAACGGUUGCGAACCCGCGAGGGGAAGCUAAUCCGAGAAAGCCGGUCGUAGUCCGGAUUGGGGUCUGCAACUCGACCCCAUGAAGUCGGAAUCGCUAGUAAUCGUGAAUCAGAAUGUCACGGUGAAUACGUUCCCGGGCCUUGUACACACCGCCCGUCACACCAUGGGAGUGGGUUGCACCAGAAGUGGCUAGUCUAACUUAGGAGGACGGUCACCACGGUGUGAUUCAUGACUGGGGUGAAGUCGUAACAAGGUAACCGUAGGGGAACCUGCGGUUG
rnacentral:rRNA from 1 species